ensembl:miRNA MIR21 microRNA 21
UCCCAUUCUGUCAGGUAGCUUAUCAGACUGGUGUUGGCUGUAAGUCAUAUGGCAACAUCAGUCUAAUAGGCUGCCUGAAAUUUUGGGCUU